ensembl:lncRNA
GAAGGUCGCUGAGCAUUCAGAGGCAGAGAGCGAGAAGGAAUUACAUCCGUGUCUUUCCCCACUCUUCUCCCCCUUCUGCACAAACUCCUCUUCCUUCAUCGUUUGUCUUCAUUAGCUUGUGCUCUCCUUGCUCUCUUGCUCUUGCAUGCAUUUCUCUUUCUCCUGUGGCAUGAGUUUCCCAGGGACACACCUGCGCCCGUACCCCACUCCAUGGGGUGCCUCCUAUGGUAUUUUCACAAUCACAUAAGCAAAUUUCUUCUUGCUGAUGAAGUACAAAUGUCAGAAUUUGAAAUAUUCUUAACGUCAACACUGUUCCUCUCUGCACACAAAGCCCCUUCCCCAAAUCUUCCAGAUAUGUUGCUAAGUCUUAAGGUUUUGAGGAAGACUUCAUGCCCGCUGUCAAAGCAUGAAGUUUAAAAGGAGGGAAGACAGGAGGACUAAUUCCUUUCCCCCACCCACAAGACAUCAGUCUUCUGAUUUUCCUUCAUCACCUGUUUCUGUAUUUAUUCCUUUAUUCCUUCAUCUCCAUGUCAGCGUUCAACAGGAACAAGAUUUCGGAGACAGAUCGCUCAGUCGUGUCCGACUCUUGGCGACACCAUGGACUGCAGCCUACCAGGCUCCUCCGUCCAUGGGAUUUUCCAGGCAAGAGUACUGGAGUGGGGUGCCAUUGCCUUCUCCAGAACCAUCAGAAUACAGUUACUAAAAGGAUUUUCAGGGGCCGACAGGGGACAGGCUGCAGCUGGAGGCUUGUUACGUAACUUUUGUUACAUGUCUCUCUUCAAUUUCAAGGUGUUCAGCAGACACUGACUAAUUAAGAUAGGAAUUGAUUUAUGUGCUUGGGUAUCCCACUCUGCUGUGAUAAGAAUUACAUGCUCUGAGCUGGAAAACAUUCCUAUUGCUUCUUUGGUAAUGCUGAAGCCUCACUGGAUGAUAAUGACAGUCCUCUGUUCUCAGUCUGUGAUAAUGCAGUAAAUGAGAACAUGAUCCAUGGAGCCUUCAUGCUCACAUAAUCCUCUGAAUGGAGGGACCCCGGACCAGUGGCUUCGACACAUCUUGACCCUCCCUGGACACGUCCAGUGACAGCCAGUUCAUGACUGUUGGGCAGCUGUUUGCUAUAGUUCGGCUAGGUCUGAGUCAAAGGGAUUUAUUCACACAGGUAAUUCCC